GUGCUUGUUUUGGGAGCACAUGUACUAAAGUAGCAUAAUACAGAGAAGAUAUGGAAUGUAAUGUCCCUUGCACAAGAAUGACAUACAAAUUUGUGAACAUUCCAUACUUUUC
ensembl:snRNA U6 U6 spliceosomal RNA